AACAAUGGAAGGUACACAUUUGCACCAUUCCACCUACUUAGUGGGAUUUGGGAUUUUCGAAUCUGAGAGCUGUAAGCUCUGCGCAGGGACACUGUCUGCAACCCAAGAAUUGUUAAGAUGAUUGGGGAAACAGCUAAUGAUUUUUUUUUUUGUCUCUAAAUCUGAUUAUUAUUAUUAUUAUUUUCUGUACUAGCUGAUUAAUCAAUCUGUUUAUUAGCUUUAGAAUUUUUUGAUCAAGGGUUAAAGUACUUUACAUUUAUCUCUAGUCUGUGUCUUUAAACAUGUCAAAAGUUUAAAUCCUCAAUGUAAAAUGUCAUUCUUUUGUCUAUUCUGCUCUUUUCAUUUCCAGUUGUGUGAUGAGGUUGAUUUAAUGCAUCCCUGCCAAGACAACAUCUGUCGCCGCUUUAGCAAAAACUUCACUGCUGUUCUUCAAAUGACCAAGGAUUUGCCACUGAAGAAGGUCUACAUGGAGGCAAGAGAGAAUGCACUGGCUGAAGACAUUACAGGAAUUGACUUCAAGGGGGCACUUCUCUUGCCAUCCAUCUUCAAGGAGAAGAUAGAAGAUUUCAUCAUCCUUGGAGAGAAUACUCCCACGAGUCCAUACCCAACCAUUCGAAUGAAGGAUAAGAGUUGGACAACUGCCCUCUUAAGACAGUUUCGCUGUGUUGUGACAGUUGAAGGAGUGGAUGUUUGCUCGUGCCGCUCGCUGGAUGAGGCCUACAUCUCAGCAUUCUCCACCUUCUUCGUGUUCAACAUGACCUACCCUGCAUACUUCAAGAAAACACUUGUCUUUCUUCAGAACUGCAUUGUCAACAUAGGAGACCAGGGAGACAAACCCCUGCCAGUAAGUGUCACCAGGGUACUUAACCAACUCUAUUAAAUAUGCCCCCACCCAAGUGUCACUACCUUAUUCACUACCCAAGGCUGAUUUUGAUGUAUGGUCCUCUUCGCCCUUUGUGGUGUAUGGGAUAUGAAAGCAAGCAUCAAUAUUUCAAAAAUCUAGCGAGUAAAUGCAAAAACUUUGUAAACAUCACUGCAACUCUUAACAAU
ensembl:lncRNA